ensembl:misc_RNA 7SK 7SK RNA
GGGUUUGAGGGUGAUCUGGCUGUGGCAUCUGUUACCCCAUUGAUUGCCAGGGUUUAUUUGGCUGGCUAGGCUUGUGUCCUCUUCCUCCCUUACCACUCCAUGUGUGCAUCCCUCCUGAAGCUGCAAGCUCCGUCAAAGAGGAUGAAGAGGAUGACCUUCCCCAAAUAGAGGAGGGUAGGUCUUCUGUCAAGGGUAUAUGAAUAGCUGCACUCCCCUGAUAAACCCUCCAAACAAUCUAAUUAUUUUUCUUAAGUGAGCUAAUUUUUUUUAUUUUGGUGGUUCUGGAGAUUGCAUUCAGGGCCCCACACAUGCUAGGCAAACCCUCUCCUA